rnacentral:lncRNA from 1 species
ACGACCUCCUGCCAUGUGCGCCUCCUUCCUGCUCCACCCCGGCCACGAGCGCCUCCCCGGUUUCUCUGUUCGCUGCCACCAGCCGCCAUCGACGGCACGCCUAGCAGUGUACCGCCAUUGCCAACCAUCAGCCUCCUACCGACCCCCAGCUGCUUCGCCCGUUGCCAUGUUGAACUUCUCGUGGAGGCCGCUUUGACCUUCCUGAGUUAGCUUCAUAUUUGUUUUUUUUUUGUGCUCGACGGUGAGACACGAUCUCCUUCAGCUCUCUUGUUCUUCCUGCAAACAAGGUCGGGUUCAGUUUUGGUGGCUUGACGCUGCAUGCUCUGGUUGCUACUUGAACUGCUUGCUGCACCUGUUACACCUUCUCCUCCUAGUCCUCAAUCAAUGGACACAACAUGGCUGUAAUGUUCCUGCUAUUCAAAUUACUCUAAACUUGUAUGGUCGACACUUCAAUUUUUCGCUCUUCCAGGUGGCAUUCAGAAGCUCAGCUCGGCGCCAUGCAGGAUGCUGCAGAGCUGCCGUGGUGAGCCUGCUGAGUAGAGGUCGAGGCGCUGGAGUCCGGCGGCGCUGCUGCAUGCCAUGUGCUCUUUUUGGCUGAGGUCGAGCUGCUGGAGUGCGGUGGUGCUCGUUACCCUCCUAGAGUCCGGUGUUGCUGUUGGCUUUAUCUUGUUGCUGUUUGUCUAACUGUGAGAGAGAGCAUGUAUUUUCUCUUCCUGUACACUUACUACUCUGAAUAAUUGGAUCCCGUCAGUAGGUUGGUGUUGUACUAAAUAAUGCAACGUAAUUAACAAUCUACGUGUUUGGGUUGCACUGUCGCUAGUGUAUUUCCUACAGUUUGUAUAGUUUCCUUAGUUUCUUUCGAUUUGUACUUUCAUUUUGUUAAAUAUAUGUCUCUUGAUGAAAUCCUUACCUGUACAACAUUGAGAGGUGGAAGUGUGCAGGGACGCACCGUCCAAGUCCCAAUUGCCCUGACGGUGACCCAACACCAUCACAGUCCAGCCCCGUAGCGUCAGGGAGGUCGAGGCCAUCGCGAGCAGAAGUCCAUAGCAGAAGGUGAUGGUCAGCGUAGCACUUCCAUCCCAUCCAUGUUCAGCAUAUUUUUGAUUUUGGGUAGCAACAAUGCGUAAUGUAUGGAAGCCAGUCAGGCUCGCACUUCCUCAUCUCCCGCUGUCGGCGACGACACUCCCUUCCUCCAGC